rnacentral:rRNA from 1 species
UACGGGGGGGGCAAGCGUUGUUCGGAAUUACUGGGCGUAAAGGGCUCGUAGGUGGCCAACUAAGUCAGACGUGAAAUCCCUCGGCUUAACCGGGGAACUGCGUCUGAUACUGGAUGGCUUGAGUUCGGGAGAGGGAUGCGGAAUUCCAGGUGUAGCGGUGAAAUGCGUAGAUAUCAGGAGGAACACCGGUGGCGAAGGCGCCACUCUGGGCCGGUACUGACGCUGAGGAGCGAAAGCGUGGGGAGCGAACAGG